rnacentral:rRNA from 1 species
GAUGAAUGCUGGCGGCGUGUCUAAGGCAUGCAAGUCGCGCGGACAUAAUGCGAUUACAUCAAGCUAUGUUAGCGGCAGACGGGAGCGGAACACAUUGGUAACAUUCCUCGAAGUCGUGAACAACCCCGGGAAACUGGGGCUAAUACACGAUGGUCAAGGGGGGACGAAAGUCAUUCCCUUGUAAAGCUUCGGCGCUUCGAGAUUGGCCUAUGUCCUAUCAGCUAGUUGGUGAGGUAACGGCUCACCAAGGCUAUGACGGGUAGGGGGCGUAAGAGCGUGGCCCCCCUCACUGGGACUGAGACACUGCCCAGACACCUACGGGUGGCUGCAGUCAAGAAUAUUCGGCAAUGGACGAAAGUCUGACCGAGCGACGCCGCGUGCCAGACGAAGCCCUUCGGGGUGUAAAUGGCUUUUUUCAGGGACGAACAAAUGACGGUACCUGAAGAAUAAGAGGUUGCUAACUCUGUGCCAGCAGCAGCGGUAAUACAGAGACCUCGAGCAUUAUCCGGAAUUAUUGGGCGUAAAGGGUCCGUAGGCGGCUUCUUAAGUCAUGCGUCAAAUCUUUGGGCUCAACCCAGAGGCUGCGUGUGAUACUGGGAGGCUAGAGGUCGGGAGAGGCAUGUGGAAUUGUCGGUGUAGCGGUAAAAUGCGUUAAUAUCGACAAGAACACCAAAUGCGAAGGCAGCAUGCUGGAACGAUUCUGACGCUGAGGGACGAAAGCGUGGGUAGCGAAUGGGAUUAGAUACCCCAGUAGUCCACGCCCUAAACGAUGAGUGCUAGAUAUCAGGAGUAUCGACCCUCCUGGUGUCGUUGAACCAAGCUAACGCGUUAAGCACUCCGCCUGGGGAGUACGGUCGCAAGACUAAAACUCAGAGGAAUAGACGGGGACCCGCACAAGCGGUGGAGCAUGUGGUUUAAUUCGACGGUAAGCGUAGAACCUUACCUGGGCUUGAAAGGUAGCUGCAAGGCCGGUGAAAGCUG